AAUGAACGUUGGCGGCGUGGAUUAGGCAUGCAAGUCGUGCGGAAAGGCUCCUUCGGGAGUACUCGAGCGGCGAAAGGGAGAGUAACGCGUGGAUAUCUACCCCCUGGACUGGGAUAGCGGCGGGAAACUGCCGGUAAUACCAGCUAAUGUCUGCGGACCAACGGUGUGAUUCCGCCGGGGGAUGAGUCCGCGUCCUAUUAGCUAGUGGUGGAGUAAUGGCUCACCAAGGCUGAGAUGGGUACCGGGUGUGAGAGCAUGGCCCGGCUCACUGGGACUGAGACACUGCCCAGACACCUACGGGCGGCUGCAGUCGAGAAUCUUCGGCAAUGGGCGCAAGCCUGACCGAGCGACGCCGCGUGCGGGAUGAAGGCCUUCGGGUUGUAAACCGCUGUCAGAGGGGAGGAAAUGCGUGAGGGUUCUCUCUCACGUUUGACCUAUCCUCAGAGGAAGUACGGGCUAAGUUCGUGCCAGCCGCCGCGGUAAGAC
rnacentral:rRNA from 1 species